UUGUAAAGUGCUGGGUGCUGCAGAGGCAGUCUCAGAGUGCAUCGGCUCUGGUUCCUGACUCCGUUUGCAGACAAAGGGAGCGAGCUAGAUCGCCCUGGUGUUUCACGUGAGUCCUGUGCCACCCAGCCCGCCUCAGUGCCCAGCAACAGAGAGAGUCGCAGGGGACGAGCUGCAGAAUGGCACGGCAGGGAGGCGAGAAAUCCCGACCCAGACAGCACAGAAAGGGGAUCCAGCACUGAACCGCAGCUGGGAGAAGCAGAAGAAGACGAUCCAGAUAUUCCAGUGACAUUCAACGAUGUGGCUGUGCAUUUCACCAAGGAGGAGUGGAGUCGUCUGGACAAAAGGCAGAGAGAGCUCUACAGGGAUGUCAUGCAGGAGAAUUUUGAGACCGUUCUCUCUAGAUUGUCGAGAUGCCAAGGAAAGGAUGAUACCAAGAGAAGCCUGCACAGGACCUGUAGCUGACUUUGUUGAUUCAGAAGAAGCAUAUCCAUAUUCUCCCUCAUUCUCCUCACUGUGUGAAGAUGACAGAGUAUUAAUUCCUACAGUUUAAAUUAUUGUAAGUGGUCCUUCAGAAAUCUUUUUUCUACUUACACUCUUCAAGUACAAGUCUGGACUGGUCCAUGGCUACUUUCUCUACGCCACCACUUGGCUGUUCCUCAUGACAUACUAUAGAAGAGGAAUGAAAAUAGUAUGGUCACAUUUUAAGUGUACUGUUCUACAUGUAUUAUUUUAAACCACACAUUUACAUUGAGCAGGAAUUAGGUCAUGAGCACCAUAAGACAGAAUUAUAAAUACAGGAUCAUCUGUACCUGAACUCUUGCUCCCAGUUCUCCACUGCCUUGCUCCAGAUCAGAAGGGAAGCUUAUUUCACCCAUGUUACAAAAGUGAAGGCGAGAACCCACAAUGUAAGCCAGGUGAACACACACAUCCCCAGUAGUCAUUUGAUGACCUAUAUUAAGCUCAUAAGAGCAAACUAUGACAUCCCUAAUCAGCAUUAAAAGCUUUUCAGAUUUGACUGUAAUCAACUAUUCUUUGGCCCUGGCCUCUCUCACCUAUAGCAGUCCAGUAGAGUAGGUCUCUUUCUCCCUUUUUUUGGCAGGUGUAGGAGGGCCCAACAAAGUGCGAAAACUAGAUUUCUUAUCUUGAGUAAACACAUUUUGCUUAUUGUAGUUCUUGAGCGACUUGUCUGAUUCACUUCAAAACUGAUAGGCAAAAAUCCUAACUCAGUACCAAAAUGAACAUGUACAUUUUUAGAGCAAUAGGAUUCAUUUUGGCAUAUUACAACAUGGAUUGUGCCCCUUCUAUAACACUCAGUUGCAGCAACUAUCAGGUAAAUAUUAC
rnacentral:lncRNA from 1 species